ACGAGUCAGGCCCCGGCACCUAGCACCUCGGUGCGCAGUGCCCCGGCGGCACCGGCCAUGCCGACCACACGAGUGGCGUCGGACAAGCCUCCCCGGCACCGGACCUCGGCGGCACCGCAAGCACAACAAGUGCCUCGGCGCCGGUCAUUAUCCCCGGGGCAUAAAAAAGCCCAUAAGUCGGGGACCUCUGUGCCGAAGACGCCGGCUCCCCCAGUGCCGGGGGUAGAGCCGCGUCCGCCUGUGGAGCACCGGAAACAGGUGCCUCCAGCACCGUCGACUCCGGCGCCGAGGCCGUUGAGUCCGGUGCAGAUAGCGUCUCCACCGAGACCGGCAGUGAUACAGUGCCUCCCGUCGACUCCAGAGACCUUCGCGGCGGCGAGAGACUUAAUAGCUCUCACGGAGCCGGCACCGCAACCACCGGCACCGCAGGCACCGUUGACUCGUCCGGUCCAGUCUAAGGGGAAACCUGCCUUGAUGCGCCCUCCAUCGCAAGGGCUGGAACCAUGGCACCGGUCCAGGUCCCGAAGCAGGUCCCCACGCCACUCGCAGUCCCGGCGCCGAAUAUCACCUCGGCACCGGUCGUACUCGCGGCCAAGAUCUUCGUCGCGGCACCGCUCUACGUCUCGGCACCGCUAUGAUCGUCGGCACCGGUCAACAUCGAGACGUAGUUCUCGGCACCGCUACGAUCGACGCUCGACGUCGAGAGGCCGCUCCCGGCACCGGGCCUACUCCAGAUCGUCGUCGAGGUCCAGAUCCGACUCCCGGCACCGACGAGGUCAUCGGCACCGGUCGCGGUCCCGGCACCGAUCGCCGGCACCGCAUAGAGAUAGAACAUCUCCGGACCGGCACCGUGCGGCACCGCAGCCCACGGGAUUUGUCUCGACGCUCUCGGCACCGCCAUGGCCAUCGAGAUCGGUGUCUCGCUCCUCUGAGGACCUAUCGAGAUCGGCAUACCCCCCUCAGGGGCAAGCCGAGGAACAGGACUUGGGCCAUUGGCAGGAGAUAACAGAGGACCAUACUCAUGGCCCAUCUCACUGGUCGUUCUGGACCCCGUGGGCGUACCAUCAGGCGCAAGGGGCUCCAAUAGCUUCGACCUCUCGCUCGGGC
rnacentral:lncRNA from 1 species